rnacentral:rRNA from 1 species
GUGUAGUCUGGCUAGUAAAUUAAAGUUAAGGUAAGAAUUCUUUGAUUUUUUAGGGGACGAUAAGACCCUAGAAGCUUUAAAGAAUAAAAAUUUUUAGUAAUGGCAUGUAUUUUUUACUGGGGCGGUACUAGUUUAUUAACUACUAGUAGUAAAGGGUGAUCCUCUAUAUAAAGAUAGUUCGGUGAAGUUACUCUAGGGAUAACAGUGCGGUAUUUUUGGAAAGGUCUUAUUGAUAAAAAUGUUCGCAACCUCGAUGUUGAAUUAAGGUGUCUACGUGGGGAAGCAAAUACAGUAGAGGGUUUGUUCAACCUUUAUAUUCUUACAUG